AGGAGGGGGCAGCAUUCAUCUUUUGGCACCGCGGCGGCGUUCGGUCCUCUGGGUGGAAUGUGCUCGCAGCAGCAGUGACGGCGGCCACAGCACGGGAGGCACCCGAGCCAUACACCCUGCAGCUGGAGAGAAAAGGAUGGCCGAGGUGGGAGAGACUAGAGUGAACCAGCAGGAGGAAGUCCCAGGGCCGCGAAGCUACGACGGAGAUCCGUCCUGGAAAAGCCUUCUCCACCCUGGGCACUUUAAGCGGCGGUGGCGGCAAACGGCAGGAGGUUGCAGACCCGACAGCGAGACUCCCUCAUUCCAGUCUUGCUCUGCCCUCCGGAGAUGACAAGUGAGAAAGAAGUGUCCGGCCGGGCCAUCCCCUUCAGAGAAGCAACCACUUCACAAGAAGAUUCUGAAGUUGGCCAUUUUUGAUCCCAGAACAGUUUCUCAUAGAUUAGAAAUAUUGGAGUCUA
rnacentral:lncRNA from 1 species